GCCCGUUAUCUGCCCCCCCGGCUAUGUCCCGUUAUUACCAGCAGAAACUGGGAAGAUGCUGAGCCCAACAUCAGGAGAUGCAGAGCUCCGAUUAACCGAAUCCCAAAGCAGAACGGAAUUUUGGCUUAAGAGCAAGGAGAGGAAAACCGUGGGAUCACGGAGCGCUGACAACAGCCGGCCCAGACACACCUGACAGGUUGCAGCGAUGAAUAUCUCAUCCACUGUGACCGCCACCAACGGAACUAAUUUGCUUAUGGAAAAUUGCAGAUCAUCAGUUUCCUGCAGGGAUAUAAGCACCUCUGCAGGCGCUGCUGAUUAAGGGCAGGCGAGAGUGCAAAUGGGCCUGAAUCUCCCCGCGGACCCAGAUGAAGUGUUAACGUUGGACAUGUCAUCCCUGAAGGAGCAUCAGAUAAAGGUGGAACGCUGUGAGCUUCAAGACUCGGAGCAGACGUCUCUCACAUGGACAUGCGAUCCGUCCAGGCUGUUUCUGGCCUCUCACAACAAACUCUACAAGGCUCUGCAGAUGAGUGAGGUGACUUUUAAAUCCAACACUUACGGAUUGUUGUCACAGAUCAACACAAUGGAUCCAGGGUUGACACAGAAUACACUCUGCAUUAUGUUGGAUUUUUCAUAAUAAAGCGCGACUUGUUUGUGC
rnacentral:lncRNA from 1 species